UUCAGCUCAAUAUAUGUCAAUU
rnacentral:siRNA from 1 species